UAAAGUCUAGAGCACUUACAAGGCGCUCCUGAAUUAUUUGAGGAGCGUCUCUUAAAAGAGUCACUUAAGGCAGCUGUUCGUUUGCCUUGCUCAAUAGGAUAACCUUCAGCCCUGAGUUAUUAUGUCCAUAAAUAUAAUUUGACUUGGAAAAAGUCUUGCAGAUUUAUAAAUUCAAAUAAGUGUUCUUUCCAGACCCAUCUUCCCGUCCUGAGGACCUCUUUGUAGCUGUGAAACGGAUAGUUUGCCAUCCAGAGCGAGUCUGCUGGUAACCGUUAUAGAACUAAUGCCGUGUUAAAACGCAGUGUAUAAAUAAACUAUACAUACAUUAGUGGCAGCAGAAAACCACUACUCUCAGCCGAGCCAACUUUCUGUGUGAGAGCGACGAAUAGAUGAAAUAAAAGAUAUGUUUACAAAAUGGGCUUUGCUUUCUGCAUGAGGGCUUCAGAUUGGCUGAGGGAAUUUAGCGUAUUCGGCUAAGUCACGUAUUUGGAGAAGUUCCCUAUAAAAGCAGCACAGUAUUAAAAGUGGAACAAACACCAGCGUAAGCCCCUGAGCUAUCAGGAGACCUCGUUUGACUGCAACUUGAGUCCUCUGCUUUCUUCUCCUUAUUCUGCGGCUUAUGCCAAACCUCCAGGAUGUCUCAGAAUAUCCAGAGAUUUUUCCACGCCAGUUCUGCUAAUUGAGGGGGGGAAAAAAAGGGUCAUUGCAAUUAUGUAAUGGCUCCCUCUAGCGUGCCAGAGAUACUGCUGCAUUUGGGGUAUAACUCGUGUGUGUGCAGCCUGUGGGGCAUGUGUGUAUACGUGUGUAUAUACACACAUACUGCGGGUUACACACUGUGCCUAACUGUGUACACAUGUGGGGUAACACUAGUUUCCUUUCAGAGCAUAAAAGCACACCAGCAGGAGUAAAAAAAAAACAAACAACAAAACAAAAAAAGGUUUGUAUUACGGUGGCAUAUAAUAUGCAAUAUAUUUCUGACAGUGUUUCUCAUGUUUACUUUAAAAAACAGCCUCGAAACCCAGGAUGAAUCUUUUUUUCUUUUUUUUUUUUUUUUGAGGAAGAGGAGGCUAGUGUCUUCAUCACUUAUUUCUCCAUCCUACUUACAACAAUCCAUUGAUACCAACGACAUGCAUGGAAUACUUAGAGGAGAAAUAAAAACUGAAACACUAGCACUGGAUCUUCAAACCUCUGACUGAGUGCCAGGAGAUAAUGAUAAAUGAAACUCCUUGCUCUACAAGUCACUUUGGUUUUGUGGUGUCAAGUUCAGCAGGACUGCAUUUUAAUAUCCAUUCUCAGAUAGAAGUACUGAUACAGGACAAAGUUGGAGAAGCCAAAAUCAUAGAAUCACAGAGUGAUUUGGGCUGGAACGGACCUAAAAAUUAUGUAGUUCCAAUACCCCUGCCAUGGUCACAGACACCUUUCACUAGAUCAGGUUGCUGAAAAUCCUAUCCAGCCUGGCCUUGAUUGCCUCCAGGAAUGGAGAUCAGCAAGUCCUCUGGGCCAUCUGUACCAGUGUCCUGCAACCCUCACGGUGGGAUGAAGAUAUCAUCUUUGAAACUUUUGAAUUCCAAGUGCAGCUGGAAAUCAAGUUCCACUUUCCUGAAGAGAGUAAGCUUGAACUAUCUCUAGUCUGUCUAACAUCAAGCCAGUAUCAAGAGGUUAAGAACUACUGUCAUGCAUGAGAGCAAAGCCUUCAGGCCAGCCCCAACUGUCAGUGUCUCAGAGAAAUUCUUUGGAGUCAUCUUGCCAUGAACGUUUUAUCUUUUUUAGAGAAUUAAAACUUCACUAAGUCUAGAGAAGGCCAGGAUAAGUGAGUACUAGAAAUACUGUAAAGAAAUAUUUUCAACCCAAGCACAGGUGGUGGGGGCUUCAGGGACCUCUGUGAGGAGUGCCCAGGGCUGCCCCAGGCAGGACACAGCUGGAUCCAGGUGGCUCCAACCCACCCACACAGGGUCUGCAGCCAAAGGGUCUGUGGCACCUUGGGGAAGACAUGUUUAAGAAAGGGUAAAAACUGUUGCACAGCAGCUGUGUGAGAGAGGAGUGAGAACAUGAGAGGAACAAACCUGCAGACACCCAGUUCAGUGCAUAAGGAGGAAGAAGGAGCUGAUACUCCCCUGCAGCCCCUGGUGAAGACCAUGGUGUGGCCUGUGGAGGACCAGAGGGAAAAGAAGAUCUGUAUUACAACCAGUGGAGGACUCCAUGCCCGAGCAGGUGGAUGUGUUGUGGAGAAAGCUGAAACUGCUGGAGGGCCACACUAGAGCAGGAGGAAAGCAGGAAGAGAAAGAAGUGACACCCAGGAGGUGCUAUGGGCUGACCCCAUCCCUCCAUUCACCACCUUCAUGCACUGCUCAGCAUGAGGAGGAGGUUUGUACCUGGGAAUAAAGGGGUGUGGAACGGAGGGAGAUUGGUUUCCUUUUGUUUCUGUGUAACUGAGUUUGUCUUUAAUUGGCAAUAAAUUAAACUUCCUCAAGUAAAAUCUGUGUUGGUUGUGAAGGUAAUAGGUGAAUAAUCUUGUCUUCAUCUCAACCUAUGGGAUUUUUCAUUUUAUUUUCUCUCCCAUCCUGCUGAGGAGAGGAAGUCAGAAAGUUGUUGUGUGGGCACCUGUCAUCCAACCAAGGUAAACCCACAAUAAAAUUCAAUAUUUUUGUCUUAAAACACAUUUGGGGAUUUAAACUGAUUUCUGUGAUCGUAUGAAAAUUUUCCUU